AGUGAACGCUGGCGGUAGGCCUAACACAUGCAAGUCGAACGGCAGCACAGUAAGAGCUUGCUCUUACGGGUGGCGAGUGGCGGACGGGUGAGGAAUACAUCGGAAUCUACUUUUUCGUGGGGGAUAACGUAGGGAAACUUACGCUAAUACCGUAUACGACCUACGGGUGAAAGCAGGGGAUCUUCGGACCUUGCGCGAUUGAAUGAGCCGAUGUCGGAUUAGCUAGUUGGCGGGGUAAAGGCCCACCAAGGCGACGAUCCGUAGCUGGUCUGAGAGGAUGAUCAGCCACACUGGAACUGAGACACGGUCCAGACUCCUACGGGAGGCAGCAGUGGGGAAUAUUGGACAAUGGGCGCAAGCCUGAUCCAGCCAUACCGCGUGGGUGAAGAAGGCCUUCGGGUUGUAAAGCCCUUUUGUUGGGAAAGAAAAGCAGCAGGUUAAUACCCCGCUGUUCUGACGGUACCCAAAGAAUAAGCGCCGGCUAACUUCGCG
rnacentral:rRNA from 1 species